rnacentral:rRNA from 1 species
GACGAACGCUGGCGGCGUGCUUAACACAUGCAAGUCGAGCGGUAAGGCCCUUUCGGGGGUACGACGAGCGGCGAACGGGUGAGUAACACGUGGGUGACCUGCCCUCAGCUCUGGGAUAAGCCUGGGAAACCGGGUCUAAUACCGGAUAUGACUCCAUGACGCAUGUUGUGGGGUGGAAAGCCUUGUGCGGCUGAGGAUGGGCCCGCGGCCUAUCAGCUUGUUGGUGGGGUGAUGGCCUACCAAGGCGACGACGGGUAGCCGGCCUGAGAGGGCGACCGGCCACACUGGGGACUGAGACACGGCCCAGACUCCUACGGGAGGCAGCAGUGGGGAAUCUUGCGCAAUGGGCGAAAGCCUGACGCAGCGACGCCGCGUGUGGGAUGACGGCCUGG